GUGACGCCAUUGCGUUCGUUUUGUCAUCUUACUCCCGUCUGAGAAAGACUUCAACUUCCGGCUCAUGAGAGGGAUGAGAUUCUGCGCUAGUUGAAACGAACGGGCCUAAGGACGGGAAUCCGAUUGAGGAACACCCCAGAAAUGGCUCGGCUACGAUGUUCCGAUAAAGAAGUCACGCCGGGUGUUGAAUAUUGUCAGAUUCAGAUGCAUCAAUGAGAGUCAGUAAUGCAGUGGAUAACUAUGAGGAUGAUCACAUCCACAUGCCCCACAGCUGUGAUGCAGAAUCACAAUGGGAGGAUCAAUCUGUCUUUGGCCACAACCUGAUCUUCUCAGAGAGACUCUCCAGCGUCUUGAUGCUCUUUAGCGAAAGUAUGAGCACCACAGACUAACGUUACAUGAAGAAUCUUACAACGCUUCGAAAAGAAUAAAAAAGGCACAUGACGUGAACAUUGCGGAAUCUGUAAGGCGCCUCCAUAAUUCAGAGAACAACCCACACAAAUACGUUCCACAAACCAGAAUAAAUUCAUCACAUAAACUGGCUGUGACCACUUACCUCUUCGAAGAAUUAAGGUAAACUUUUACAGACGUUGACCCUGAAUGUGUAAAAGCAGGUUGGAAGAUGUAUUUUGAGACUUUGCGGAGGAAGUAUUCUUUGGCUCAGCCUGAAAAGGCCCAGAAAAGAAAAACUAUGACGAGCAUUGCAAAGAACCUUCAAAGAAAGCGACUGUUGCUGGAGACCAGGUCCGGGGUUGUACAAACCAACACAGAAAAGGAACUUUGGAAGACCGCAACUGAUGUCUGAUGAAGAUGAUGCUAUUGUUGAUGGAAGGCCAGUGUGAAUGGUGAGGUCUCCACCAAUCUGCUCUCUGCUAGGUACUAUAAAACAGACUAGAGGCUGACCCACACUAUGCGUCACACCACCAGCGUAUCAUGGCAGUUUGAAAAAUGUUAACUCGUAUAAAA